UACUCCAGCUCCAAAAGCGUAUAUUAAAGUUGCUGCAGUUAAAAAGCUCGUAGUUGGAUCUGGGUCGUGCGGUGCCAUGCCGUUGCUUGUUCACUGUUUUGGUUACACAGGACGUGUUCACUCGGUGUAGUGGCUGUGCAGCCUUCUGCCGUGUCUGUGUUAAACGGGUGUGGUGGGUUGACGAGUUCGUCUUGUUGACCUGUCGGCAUGCUUCCGAUGCCUUUAAACGGGUGUCGGGGCGGACGGCAUCUUUACUUUGAACAAAUUUGAGUGCUCAAAGCAGGCCUGUGCGCCUGAAAAUUCUUGCAUGGAAUAAUGAAAUAGGACUUCGGUUCUAUUUUGUUGGUUUUCGGAUCCGAAGUAAUGGUAAGAGGGACAGACGGGGGCAUUUGUAUGGCGGUGUUAGAGGUGAAAUCCUGGGAUCG
rnacentral:rRNA from 1 species